CUCUCUCUCUCUCUCUCUCUCGCACAGCACACACACCGAGUGAGUGUGGUGUGGCGUGGGCGGAGGGAGAGGGAGUAGAAUUGGAGCGAGCGGAUGAAAUAGGAAAAGGAGCCCUGCGUAGUACAAGUAGGGAGGAAAGGGAAGGGAAGGGAAGGGAAGGUCCGGAGGUGGAGGACGGGCGAUGGCUGGGGAGGGAGGGAGGGAGGGGAGGGGAUGGGGAGGAUGGUGAAAAAGAGUGGGAGCGUGGACAACUGGAAAGGGCCCCAAAGAGUGUAAGAAAGAGAGAGAGGUGGGAGGAGAGAGGAAGCUAGCUAAGCAAAGGAGAGAAGAAAAAAGAGAGAGAAAGUAGGAGGGUGCCCCUACAAAGGGAAGGGCUGGUGGUGCCUCUACUGAUUGAUCUCUACCCUACGACUCUUCCUCCCUCCCUCGCUCCCUCCAUCUUCCAUCACUCCCACCAAGAACCUAAACUCCACCGCAGUACACUCUGCAGCAAAGGUAGUAUACGACGCCCUAUGU
rnacentral:lncRNA from 1 species